GCUUUCUUGGAAUUGACUUCACGACCGAACAGAUGGCCAAAAAGGUCGCGGAGCUUCUCUUUCAAGAGAUCCCAGCUCGAGAUCUCCUCUUGGUGAGUCUGGAACCAUGCCCGUGGAGCGCCGUCGAGGUAGAAAAGAACGUUUGCAAGCAUUAUAGUCGGAUCCCAUUUGUGACUGGUGCUGACACGUUCGUAGAAGCGUAGCCAGUCGUCAACAUCAG
rnacentral:lncRNA from 1 species